UUUCAAAUAAGACACUAGUUUGACAGUUGCAAAAGGAAGUUGUGAGGCUUGAAGGGGAGUUACGAAGCCUUGACUUUUCUAUGAAUUCAUGUCUAAGGUCAUUGGCAUCUCUGGCAGUGAUUCUUUUGCUAAGUUACAUAAAGAUACUCCACGAAAGGAUGAUGAAAGUUGUAAUUCUAUUUUAUCACGGGAAGGAAGCCCAGCUACAAGGAAAUCAAAAUCAGUGAAUGUGAUGAAGAUUCAAAAGAUGUUCAAGAAUGCUGCGGAGGAGAACAUUUGGAGCUUCAGAGUUUAUGUUACCAAGUUAAAAGAGCUAGGGGCAAAACUGCAUUACCAGAAGCUGCAUUCUCAUUUUUCCAUUUUAGAAAACUAUUUCUCACAUUGAAUCAUGUCAGCAUUUCUUUCAGGUUUUGGAGCUGGAAGCAAACAAGUCAUUAAAUGAAGAAAAGGAUACACCUGAUCGGUCUCCCUUGCCAUGGCAUAUACUAUUUGAUCAGCAGGAGAAAGCAAAUUAUCAUGUUAUGGCAUUUAUGCCACAUAUCUCUUGUGCACCGGACACAAUUUUUUCUUCUGUUAAGGGGAAACCCUUCUGAUCAGGUAUAUAUGGAAGUUGAACUUAGAAGAUUGACUCGGUUAGAACAGCACCUGGCAGAGCUUGGAAAUGCUAGUCCUGCACUUCUAGGUGAUGAGCCUGCAGGCUCUAUUUCAGCAAGAGCUCUGAAGCAAGAAAGGGAACAUAUUGCUAGGAAGGUGAACACUAAACUUACAGCAGAGGAGGGGAACUGCUUUAUGCAUAAUGGGAAGUUCCUCCCGUUGGAAAACAAAGGAGACUGCAAUUUGUAAAUAAAUUGUGGACCGACCCUUAUAACAUGCAACAUGUGCAAGAAAGUGCUGAAAUUGUAGUAAAGCUCAUUGAUUUCAGUGUAUCGGAUGAAAACAACAAGGAUAUGAUUGAAUUAAACUUUUCAAGCCCUUUUAACUGUAAAAUUUGGGUUAUUUUGUCAAAGCAUCAUACCGAUAUGCAGAAAAUUUCACCAUUAAGUUUUGCAUUUUCAACCAAGUUUGGAGUAUGCAAUUCUGAACAUGAAUUUUUUAAAAGAUUAUCAUUGUCUUAUU